rnacentral:lncRNA from 1 species
AGAAUUUUAAGAUUCCGCGGCGAUGUUUGGUUUUGAAUUAGUAUAAACCGAGUUUAUUUGUAUGCUAAAUAUUUGUUAUCCGAGUAGAAAUGCAUUUUAAUAAGUAUAAAGAUAAACAUCAUCAAGAGUCGAGUUUGUCGUCUUCUUUUAUUACUGCUCCCAAUGAUAAAACGCUGAUAAUGGCGUCUAAAGAGAAGAAGGAAAACAUGAGAAUGGGCAAACAGACGGCAACCGUGUACGCAGCAAAGAUAAAGACGAAGAUACACAGUAAGAAAUGCUAUUACUGGUGUAGUUUGUGUUCUGUGUUGACCAAUGGCAAUACCCGGACCUUCAUUAUCUCUCAGAUACCUCAUCAUUCUUCAAGCUUUCUUUGAAAAGCAACAACAAGGCUCUGACUCUGGCUCUGGUUGCUCAGAAGCAGAAGAGCAGAGAGCUGGAGGCAGAGGUGGUGCGACUGAGGAAAGAAGCACAGACAAAUCAUUUUGAUCUUGCUCAACGGCGUCAUAAAAACAAACAACUG